rnacentral:rRNA from 1 species
UACGGAGGAGGCAAGCGUUAUCCGGAAUUAUUGGGCGUAAAGCGUCCGCAGGUGGCGAUUCAAGUCUGCGGUCAAAGACUGGGGCUUAACCCUGGAAAGGCCGUGGAAACUGAAUAGCUAGAGUGCAGUAGGGGUAGAGGGAAUUCCCGGUGUAGCGGUGAAAUGCGUAGAGCUCGGGAAGAACAUCGGUGGCGAAAGCGCUCUGCUGGACUGCACCUGACGCUGAGCCGCGAAAGCCAGGGGAGCGAACGGG